rnacentral:sRNA from 1 species
GCUGGGCGUGGUGGCACACACCUAUAAUCCCAGCAGCUCAGGAGGCUGAGGCAGGAGGAUUGCGAGUUCAAAGCCAGCCUUAGCAAAGGUGAUGUGUGAAGCAACUCAGUGAGACCCUGUCUCGA